AUUGACAGCUGGCGGCAGGCCUAACCAAUGCAAGUCGCACGAGUGGCGGACGGGUGAGUAAUGUCUGGGAAACUGCCUGAUGGAGGGGGAUAACUACUGGAAACGGUAGCUAAUACCGCAUACCAUCAGAUGUGCCCAGAUGGGAUUAGCUAGUUGGUGGGGUAACAGCUCACCAAGGCGAAGAUCCCUAGCUGGUCUGGGAGGAUGACCAGCCACACUGGAAGUGAGACACGGUCCAGAAGCCUACGGGAGGCAGCAGUGGGGAAUAUUGCACAAUGGGCUCAAGCGUGAUGCAGCCAUGCCGCGUGUAUGAAGAAGGCCUUCGGGUUGUAAAGUACUUUCAGCGGGGAGGCGUUACCCGCAGAAGAAGCACCGGCGAACUCCGUGCCAGCAGCCGCGGUAAUUC
rnacentral:rRNA from 1 species